ACGAACGCUGGCGGCGUGCUUAACACAUGCAAGUCGAGCGACAGCACUCUUCGGGGUGCAUGGAGCGGCGAACGGGUGAGUAACACGUGGGCAACCUGCCCUCAGCUCUGGGAUAACUCCGGGAAACCGGGGCUAAUACCGGAUACGACCUUCCCUCGCAUGGGGGUUGGUGGAAAGUUCUUCGGCUGAGGAUGGGCCCGCGGCCUAUCAGCUUGUUGGUGGGGUGAUGGCCUACCAAGGCGACGACGGGUAGCCGGCCUGAGAGGGCGACCGGCCACACUGGGACUGAGACACGGCCCAGACUCCUACGGGAGGCAGCAGUGGGGAAUAUUGCGCAAUGGGCGGAAGCCUGACGCAGCGACGCCGCGUGAGGGAUGAAGGCCUUCGGGUUGUAAACCUCUUUCAGCAGGGACGAAGCGAGAGUGACGGUACCUGCAGAAGAAGCACCGGCCAACUACGU
rnacentral:rRNA from 1 species